ensembl:lncRNA
CGAGCCGCGAGCUUCGAGAGGGGGAUGUGUUGGGAACAUUUGCUGCAAGGAGCCAACUACCGGAGCCGCCAGGCGUCGUGUGGAGUCGCGGGUGUUGAUUAAAGAAGGAAUUGGCCAGGUGAUGGCGAGCUAGACCCAAAGAAUUAUAGGCCCACACUGCCUGAAGAACCCUGGAGCUCGAACUGAAGUGAACUGAACUGGACCUCCUGCACCUCCUCCACCUGGUUGGGCUGCUGGUCGGGGAGCAGCAGGAGAGUCGCCCCCUGCUGAGCCCCUCCAUCGAUGACUUCCUGUCGGAGAGUCGCAGUGACGCCUCGUCAGUCCGACCAAUCAGCUCCAAUGCAGCAGUUCUGACCACAACGCUGGACCUAGUGGACCUCAGCGAGCCCAGCAACGGGGGCGGCAUCGAGGGCAGCAUCGGGGGCAGCACCAGGAACAGCAGGAAGAGGAGCCCUCUGAGGAGGAAGGGAAGCUCCAAGAGUCCUCGGCACCGAGCGAGAGCCGACGAGACGGAGCUGAUCCAGGUGGAGGUGGAACAUCUGUCGAGUCCCAGAACACCUGAGAGGGUCUCACUGGACUCAGUCAGUCUGUCUUCUCCUCUGGACAAAUGGGACGACGUGAACCUGGAGGUGGAGGACAGCGUUCG